rnacentral:rRNA from 1 species
AGUGAACGCUGGCGGCAGGCCUAAUACAUGCAAGUCGAACGGCAGCACAGUGGAGCUUGCUCCAUGGGUGGCGAGUGGCGGACGGGUGAGGAAUACAUGGGAAUCUGCCCAGUCGUGGGGGAUAACGUAGGGAAACUUACGCUAAUACCGCAUGCGCCCUUCGGGGGAAAGCCGGGGACCUUCGGGCCUGGCGCGAUUGGAUGAGCCCAUGUUCGAUUAGCUAGUUGGCGGGGUAAAGGCCCACCAAGGCGACGAUCGAUAGCUGGUCUGAGAGGAUGAUCAGCCACACUGGGACUGAGACACGGCCCAGACUCCUACGGGAGGCAGCAGUAGGGAAUAUUGGACAAUGGGCGCAAGCCUGAUCCAGCUAUGCCGCGUGAGUGAAGAAGGCCCUCGGGUUGUAAAGCUCUUUUGUCCGGGAAGAAAAGCAUCGGGCUAAUACCUCGGUGUUCUGACGGUACCGGAAGAAUAAGCACCGGCUAACUUCGUG